rnacentral:tRNA from 1 species
UGCAUCGGCCGGGAAUCGAACCCGGGCCGCCCGCGUGGCAGGCGAGCAUUCUACCACUGAGAAAUGGC